AUGUAAGUCUAACACUGACUACAUUUAAGAGGCAGGGUACAGCCGUACAGAGAACAUGCACUAUGAAGUCAGAAAGGUCUGAAUUCCAAUUUAACUCAACCUUUUACCGGUUGCUAAUGAACAUCUAGGUCACUUUCAUCAUUCCUAACAUGGAUAUAAAGCCACUUCUGCAAGAGCUAUUGUAAAUACGAAAUACAAAGCCCUGAGGUACAGCAUGCCUGGCAUGUCGAGAAACAGAUGAAAACCAAUGUGGCUGGAGCACAAACAGGAAUUCAGAGAGGCUUACAAAAGAAAAGCCCAGGCUCAUAUUUCCACCCCCCACUGCAUGGCAUGAGGAAGAAUGGAGACCCUGUAGAAUGGCCAGGGGCAUGAUGACUCGAGGAGAAAAUACACAGGAGCCUGUUUUCCAGCAGGUUAUUUGAAAGGUAAGGACGAAGGGUUUCCCUCCACCCCCACUCCCCAUCACUCCUCAGCUGUAGGCAGAGCGACUGAGACCUGAAGCUAUUCCCAAACAUCUGAAAACCA